CUGGUCCCGCCCCCAGCCCCGCCCCGGCCACCCCGGCUCCGCGGCAGCGCCGCAGUCCCCGCGCGGUAGCAGCGCGCGUCCGGGACCCCUUCCUGCCGCCGCCUUCCCCUCGCUGCGCGGCCCCCUGCACGUACCUGCUUUGCAAACCGGGGCGCUUGGGCUCCUUCUCUCCGGGAGCUUCGGCUCUGCUCCGGGGACCUCCUCCGGUGCCGGACGCGAGCUGGGGGGGGCCCGCGCUCACCUCGCCUGUCCACAGUGGGUGGGCGACGAGCAGGCGACGACACGGUGCCCAGCAGCGGCGGCGGGGGCUGCGGCCGUGGGGGCCUCCCGCGGGCCCGGGCGCGGCGCCGCGCGUGGGGCUGGUGCCUCGCGUGGACGUCGCGGACGCGCCCGUCUGCGUGGCCACCGUGGGGCUGGUGCGCGCGGCCGAACUCCCGCCGCUCCUCGUGGGGCUCGUGCUGCGCGAGCGGUGCGCGGGCCCCCGCCGCCGCCGCCGCCGCCCGAGGGGCCUGAGGCGCCACCACAGCAGCCGCCGUUGUUGUUGCCGCCGCCGCCGCCGCCGUUGCCCGCGUGGGGCUGCCAUGUUGCUGCUGCUGCUUCAGCUGGAACGGAACCGUCGCCCUCAUGGGCUGAAGGCGGCUCCCGGCUCCCCCGGCCGUGGCGACCGCACCGCCCCCGAGGGAGCCGGCCGGCGUGGGGGACCCAUUGCGCCUCACCCUCUGGGACAUGGUCCCCCCUCCCCGGUGGCUGGGCGAGACGUGGGGUUUUGUUGUUGUUGGGUUGAAGGGGGAGGAUUCUCGAGGCCGGAGGGAAGGCCCCCGCGAAGGGGUGACGAAGCCGGAAUCCAGGUGCAGGGGACGCGCGGGCCGCGGCCGGCAGGAACGAGGAGAGGCCCCAAGCCCUUAACCCAGGACCUUGCUUAAGCUGGCUAGCACUGACAUCACUACUCAUCGCCAUAACCUGGAAUGAAGACAAACACAGGACACACAGGAAACUGCCAACAAAUUCCAUGCAGAGAGCUAAGUCCACUCUUACAACAAUGGGUAAGAGAGAAGAUAAGCCUUUAAAUAAAGAUGUUCUGGAAGCUCUAUCUGGCACUUUGUCCUGCACAAAGUAAGAACUCAACACAUAUUUACUGAGUUAAACCAAGAGAGUUCAGCAGGCCAAGUGUCUUAGGCUUCCUGAUCAAUUACUUUUGAUAUCACCAAACUAGAGACCCAUUUGUUGGUGGCAAGAGACUUUUACUGUUUCUGAGCUAAAGUACUGAUUUCAACACAGAAGUUCAUGCGAUCAAAGAAUUAAAGUGUCUUUGGCUUAAUCAUGAGUUCACUUUUUUGCAUUUAGCCAUAUUUCCUAUAGAAACUCAAAUGCCA
rnacentral:lncRNA from 1 species